rnacentral:ncRNA from 2 species
GCAUGUUGGAUACAUCGUGGUUCUCCGGAGUUCGCAUCCGGAGCUAAGAGGGAAUCCGGUGCGAUGCCGCAAGGUGUCCAUGCCGGAGCUGCCCCCGCAACUGUAAGCGGCGAGUUUCUGUCUACCGAAUGUCACUGGGACGCAAAUGCCCUGGGAAGACCGGACAGCGACGAUGACCCGCAAGCCAGGAGACCUGCCGCGAUAGAUAACGUCCA